rnacentral:lncRNA from 1 species
UAAAUUCAACUCAACAAAGAAACAAAGCAAAAAAAUAAAAGUAAUAAACUAAAGAAAAAAUAUAUGAUAGUAUUAAGAAUAUUUUACCGUGAAUAGAUGAAGAAUGUGAAAACAAAGAAGAAACUCCAAUUGUCAUAUGGUCCAGAUUUCAUAGAGAUGAUUUUAGAGAAAAGAUCCAUUCAUCACUAACCCGUGUAGUUCUUCUUCUUCCUCCUCCUGUGCAUUCUUCUUCUACGGUGAGAUUUAGAAAAUAAAGAAGAAUAAACCAUAAAUUUCACAGCAGAGAGAUAGAGAUAGAUAUGAUUAUAAGGAAAUUACUAACCGGUUCUCAGAUGGAUCUUCUUCUUUCUACCGUCUCCCGUCGCUGUUCUUGGCUUUCUCCGUGUCAUUUGAAUAUUUUGAAUAUGGAAAGGCGUAAGAGAGAGAAGAAGAAGAGAUGGAGAAUGAGAAGUGAGAAGAAAGAGAGAAAUGUGUACAGGGUACAGACCAAAGACAGAGAAAA